CUUUCAGCUGCUUUUGGGGAAAAAAUUUACCAACCUGCCGUACCGGUUCUAUUUCCAUUUAGCUCUGGGCAAAUUUUAUCGAGAACUGAGAACCGAACCGAUUAGGAACCUGGGUUAACCGAAAUAACCGAAGUAUCGGAGGCCCAGUAAGGCCCAACUUGAGUACUGCCUGACCUCGAGUAACCCUAGCUCCUGGCCUCCCUACCUGCACCGCCUCCCCACCCGCGCCGCAUGCGCCUGCCCCGGCACGCCCUCCCGGCGCCCCUGCCUGACUCCCUUCCCACUGUCC
rnacentral:lncRNA from 1 species